rnacentral:lncRNA from 1 species
AGCUGCUUUUUAGCUCGCCGUAAUCCUAUUUGUCAAUUUUUGCUUUUGUCAAAUUUUGCCUGUGGUUUUGAGGUCUUACUCAAGAAAAAUCUUUGUCCAAACCAAUGUCCUGGAGCAUUUCCCCAGGUGUUUUCUUCUGGUAGUUUCAUAGUUUUAGGUCUUACAUUUAAGUCUUUGAUCCAUUUUCAUUUUAUUUAUUUUUGUUGUUGUUGUUUUGUUUUUUGAGACAGGCUGGAGUGCAGCAGUGUGAUCAUAGCUCACUGCCCCUCAAACUUCUGGGCUCAAGUGAUCCUCCUGCCUCAGCCUCCGGAGUCACUGGGAUUACAGGCAAGAAUACCCACAUCAACAAUUGGAAGCAGUCUCGUGGAGUGCUGUGGAAAGGCGGUGGAUGAAGAUUGACUUGGGAACUUUCUCUUCAUUGUUAAUCUGUUUUUUUUUUUAAAUCCUGCGUAUUAUUAUCUAACUAAUUUCCUAAAAGUAAAUUCCACUUUGUUAAAUUGUCAUUUGAUUGUCAUCUUAAGAUAAGCUAUAAGUAUCUUAAAAAAUAAACUAAAAGGUCUUCUUAUCAAAUAUAUGAAUAUAUCAACUCCCCCAUUCUCUCAUACAUUCUUAUUGUUUCCUUAUAGUUAAAGAAAAUUAUUCAGAUUUGGAAAUCCACACUAGGAAGUGUCAUAUUUAAAACAUGGAUAACAUAUAUGCAAUAAGGUGUAAAUGGCUGAAGAGUAAUUUGCAAAAAUGAAAGAAAUACAGAGAACCUUUAUUUUUCCUAUUUUGCCUUUAUGGCGCAAUGGUAUACUAGUAAAUGUUUAACAACUGGCUCUCUGGGGGGAAAAAGCCCGUAUUCACGGCAUUUGCAGAAUUCUGUGGUGCGAAUAUUCCUACCAUGGCCUAUUUUAAGCUAGUGAUGAAAUUUUACUAAAAGCCAGGUUUUGGAGGAGCUGGGAAGAAACGCACACAGUUGGCUCUCCAGAACUGGGGCAGGCAGCUCCAACACUGCCUUUACGUCUUGUGUUCAUCUCUCUCCUUCUACUUCAACACCCAAUCCAGACCUUUAUUACUUCCUGCCUAAAACAUUAUAAUAGUAGAAUGUCAUAAUUUCCUUGCCCUAUCUAUUUCUCAGUGCUCACUCACUGCUUUUAUUAGUCAAUCAAUAAAAAUGACGCUGAGGCCCGAUGAGCAAUCUUCUUCGCACAUUAAAAAAAUUAAUUUUAAUGGCUACAUAAUAGGUGUAUAUAUUUAUGGGGUACAUGUGAUGUUUUGAUACAGGCAUACAAUGUAUGAUAAUCAUAUCAGGGCAAUUGGGGUAUCCGUCACCUCAAGCAUUUAUUAUUUCUUUGUGUUAGGAACCUUCUAAUUCCACUGUUUUAGUUAUUUUGAAGUAUACAAUAAAUUAUUGUUGAUUAU